AAGUCGUAACAAGGUUUCCGUAGGUGAACCUGCGGAAGGAUCAUUAGCGAAGUUCGGAAUGCAUGUUCGAUGUUGAUGCUGCCCAGCAGUGGGAUGUGCUCGCUCGGAUGUGUGUCCCUUCUCUAUCCACCCCAUUGUGAACCAAGUGUGUGAGCCGAAGAGAAAUCGGACGCUCGCAUGCAAACCUUUAACAUACCCCAAUAAAGUAUCAGAAUGUACCUUGCGUUAACUCGCACAAAUAUAACUUUCAACAACGGAUCUCUUGGCUCUC
rnacentral:misc_RNA from 1 species